ACAAUAAUAUAUUUGGUCACGAAGUUCCGCGCUAGGAUUCUAGGUUAUAUAAGAUAAACAGGUUUUGGACACAGAAUUCAUAUUACGUACAACUUGUGAAGAUGAAAGCUGUGUUUUCCUUGGCUGCUGUUGCUUGCGUUAUCGCUGUGGUGUGCAGUGAGUCUUGCACUCAAACAUCGGACUGUGUGAACACUGCUUGCGCCGGUGGAUCUUUCCUCGCAUGCUCCCACCACGCACACCAAUGCACGUGCUACACACAAAACACACAUGGAAUCGCCUGUACUAGCCGAGACACCUGUCGUGACGCCGAUUCCCUCCAUUGUGACAGGGACGAGAAACAUUGCGUCGACGGAUUCUGCCAUUGUACCAACAACUAAAACCAAAACUAAUCAGUUACAAAAUAAUUGUGUGACGAUCGACAGAAAUAAAAAUGAUAAAACAACUUA